AGAGUUUGAUCCUGGCUUAGGAUGAACGCUAGCUACAGGCUUAACACAUGCAAGUCGAGGGGCAGCAUUGGAGUAGCAAUACUUCAGAUGGCGACCGGCGCACGGGUGAGUAACACGUAUCCAACCUGCCGCUUACUCGGGGAUAGCCUUUCGAAAGAAAGAUUAAUACCCGAUGGUAUAAAGAGUUCGCAUGUUCUCUUUAUUAAAGAAUUUCGGUAAGCGAUGGGGAUGCGUUCCAUUAGAUAGUUGGCGGGGUAACGGCCCACCAAGUCUACGAUGGAUAGGGGUUCUGAGAGGAAGGUCCCCCACAUUGGAACUGAGACACGGUCCAAACUCCUACGGGAGGCAGCAGUGAGGAAUAUUGGUCAAUGGACGAGAGUCUGAACCAGCCAAGUAAGCGUGAAGGAUGACUGCCCUACGGGUUGUAAACUGCUUUUCCCCGGGAAGAAUAAGCCCCUCGUGAGGGGUGAUGCCGGUACCGGGGGAAUAAGGAUCGGCUAACUCCGUGCCAGCAGCUGC
rnacentral:rRNA from 1 species